rnacentral:rRNA from 1 species
CCUACGGGUGGCAGCAGUAGGGAAUCUUCGGCAAUGGGGGGAACCCUGACCGAGCAACGCCGCGUGAACGAAGAAGUUAUUCGUAUUGUAAAGUUCUUUUAACAGGGAAGAAAGAGAAAUUUGACGGUACCUGAAGAAUAAGCUCCGGCUAACUACGUGCAAGCAGCCGCGGUAAUACGUAGGGAGCGAGCGUUAUCCGGAAUUAUUGGGCGAAAAGGGUGCGUAGAUGGGAUAGUAAGUCUUUUGUAAAAAUGCUGGGCUCAACCCAGUAGGGCAAAAGAUACUGGAAAGCUAGAGUAUGACAGAGGCAAGCGGAACUACAUGUGUAGCGGUAAAAUGCGUAAAUAUAUGUAAGAACACCAGUGGCGAAGGCGGCUUGCUGGGUCGAUACUGACGUUGAGGCACGAAAGCGUGGGGAGCAAACAGGAUUAGAUACCCGAGUAGUC